rnacentral:rRNA from 1 species
GAUGAACGCUGGCGGCGUGCCUAAUACAUGCAAGUCGAGCGAACAGACGAGGAGCUUGCUCCUCUGACGUUAGCGGCGGACGGGUGAGUAACACGUGGAUAACCUACCUAUAAGACUGGGAUAACUUCGGGAAACCGGAGCUAAUACCGGAUAAUAUUUUGAACCGCAUGGUUCAAUAGUGAAAGACGGUUUUGCUGUCACUUAUAGAUGGAUCCGCGCCGCAUUAGCUAGUUGGUAAGGUAACGGCUUACCAAGGCAACGAUGCAUAGCCGACCUGAGAGGGUGAUCGGCCACACUGGAACUGAGACACGGUCCAGACUCCUACGGGAGGCAGCAGUAGGGAAUCUUCCGCAAUGGGCGAAAGCCUGACGGAGCAACGCCGCGUGAGUGAUGAAGGUCUUCGGAUCGUAAAACUCUGUUAUUAGGGAAGAACAAAUGUGUAAGUAACUAUGCACAUCUUGACGGUACCUAAUCAGAAAGCCACGGCUAACUACGUG